UUUGCGUUCAUUUUCAAAUUCGCCGUGCAUAUAUUUUUGUGCAUGGCGCUUGAGAGGGCAUCACGUGACUAAAAACGACCAACCAUCGACCUCGCUUCGGCCAUCUUGGCAUCUUCAUCUUGGCGACCUUGCCUUGCCGUGGAUUGUUUUUAGUUGUUUGUAUUAUUUGUGCUUUUUAAGAAUAUUUUUUUAAUUCGGAUACUUUUAUAAUAGCUUUAAUAGUAUUAUUAACAUAGUGCAUAAAAUGGUGUCCUGUUUUUAACGCAGUUGGAGUAGCAGAAACAAAUGUAGAUAAAAAAAUCUGCAGGAAUAACGUUUCAAUUAUGACAGAAGCUCCAAACAAAUGACUGAAUGAAAAGCCCUAUUAAAAGCUUUCCAGAAGAUCCUGCGAAGAAGACAUGAAGUAUAGAUCAGAUUUGUUAAUAGAGGAGUAUGUUCAAAACACUUUUUAGAAAAAGAUAUUGACAGAACUUCACUUUCAUCUGUUCGUUUGAGAGACUGUGCUGUUCCAAUAGCUUAUGUCACACAGAAUCAGCUGAGAGAAGUGGUCUACAAAAAACCAGAAAGGAAACGGAAUAUGUGGCUACGAAAAGCAAAAGAAAGGUUUACAAAGCAAAUGUGACACAUUUUUUUAUAAUAUUUAGGAAUGUCGGCAAAUUACAUUAAAAAAUGUAUGUAAAGAUUUUUUGCAAUAAAAAUGUUUAUAUUUA